GCCUUGGUGGCGGAAUUGGUAGACGCGCAGGACUUAAAAUCCUGUGGUUUGUAAAGACCGUGCCGGUUCGAUUCCGGCCCGAGGUA
rnacentral:tRNA from 3 species